UUCCCAUCACAGCCGGGAAAGCCCAACUGCUUAGAGAAAAAGCUGAGUCAAAGUGCUUGGGUCUCCUUUUUCCUUAGGAGACCUGGGAAUUGAGAGAAUCUGAUAACUUCAUUGCGAGUUGUAAUAUGGGAAUACGUGAAUCUACUCACAGGGCUGUGGGUUCAGUAGGAUCGAGUGUUAAAGUUCCUGUUAUGGGGCUUGACAUAGAGAAGGAUUCCAGUCCUCUACUAAAUGAAGUUUCUUCUUCACUUAUUGGAACUGAUUCCCAAGUCUUUCCACCAGUUAGCAAGCCUUCAUCCGCCUAUCCCUCCACAACAAUUGUCAAUCCUACUAUUGUGCUCUUGCAACACAAUCGAGAACAGCAAAAACGACUCAGUAGCCUUUCAGAUCCUGUCUCAGAAAGAAGAGUGGGAGAGCAGGACUCAGCACCAACCCAGGAAAAACCCACCUCACCUGGCAAGGCUGCUGAAAAAAGAGCAAAGGAUGACAGUAGGCGGGUGGUGAAGAGCACUCAGGACUUAAGCGAUGUUUCCAUGGAUGAAGUGGGCAUCCCACUCCGGAACACUGAGAGAUCAAAAGACUGGUACAAGACUAUGUUUAAACAGAUACACAAACUAAACAGAGAUGAUGAUUCAGAUCUGUACUCUCCCAGAUACUCGUUUUCUGAAGACACAAAAUCUCCCCUUUCCGUGCCUCGCUCAAAAAGUGAGAUGAGCUACAUUGAUGGUGAGAAGGU
rnacentral:sRNA from 1 species